UGUAGGACAGCUUGGUAGUGCGUUUGUUUUGGGUACAAAAUGUCACAGGUUCAAAUCCUGUCA
rnacentral:tRNA from 2 species